CACUAAGAAGCUUUUACAGCACUGGCCUUUUAAGCCAGAGAGGGAAACUAACGUUCCCUUAGUGAA
rnacentral:tRNA from 1 species